rnacentral:sRNA from 1 species
ACGCUUUUUUCGGCGGCGUCAUGCCGUUGUCACGUUUGAGCGCUAAGAGAUAAUCACCUCGCCAUUUGACCACGGAUGUACUGGCACUGGCGAAGGUCACGAGGAAGGUCGGGUUUGCCCCGGCCUUUUUUGUU